UACAGAGGUCCCAAGCGUUGUUCGGAUUUACUGGGCGUAAAGGGUGCGUAGGUGGUCGGGUAAGUCUCAUGUGAAAUCUCCAAGCUCAACUUGGAAAUGGCAUGGGAUACUAUUCGGCUAGAGGAUUGGAGGGGGGACUGGAAUUCCCGGUGUAGCAGUGAAAUGCGUAGAUAUCGGGAGGAACACCAGUGGCGAAGGCGACUACCUGGCCUGUUCUUGACGCUGAGGCGCGAAAGCUAGGGGAGCAAACGGG
rnacentral:rRNA from 1 species